rnacentral:lncRNA from 1 species
CCCAUUUGAAACCGAGAGCACCAUUGUUAUUCUUGGAGCUUCUUCUUCCUUGUUCUUCAUUUGUUCUUCAUCUCCGACGCCCAUCGUUGAUCUUCUUCGACUCCGUCAUCGUUUCUUCGUGCUUGGAGGUGACUAACUUUUGUCUUUCUUGUCUUUUUCAUGUUGUUUUUGGCUUGUGAUGUUCCCACUAUUUUUAGCUCAAAUCCACUUUGUUAUUUUGAAUCAUUCACAUGAAUUAGUAUAUAUAUAUAUAUCAUAUUUCAUGGUUGACCUAGUAUUAAUGUAGUUUGCAAGAAUGAAUUAUAGUAUCUUUUUAUGAUCUUAGAAAGUAUGAUAGUUCAAAUUAAUUGGUUUGUAAUAUCACCGCCUGCACCGCCCUCUCCAAAGAGUACAUGGUCAGUCCCCUCGCCUCCAAAGCGAGGUAGUCAGAAGCGGUCCGCGCAAGAACGACCGAAGUCAUCGGUCCCACCUCCAAAGAAGGCUGCCUCAGCAAAGAGAGCUAAGACACCAGAAAAAUUAUCUUACGAAAAGAGUGA